rnacentral:tRNA from 1 species
UCCCCAAUGGUUCAGUGGUUAGGACUCCACACUUUCACUGCUGAGGGUGUGGGUUCGGUCCCUGGUUGGGGAC